UACGAAGGGGGCUAGCGUUGCUCGGAAUCACUGGGCGUAAAGGGUGCGUAGGCGGGUCUUUAAGUCAGGGGUGAAAUCCUGGAGCUCAACUCCAGAACUGCCUUUGAUACUGAAGAUCUUGAGUUCGGGAGAGGAGCGUGGAAUUCCCAGCGUAGAGGUGAAAUUCGUAGAUAUUGGGAAGAACACCGGUGGCGAAGGCGGCGCUCUGGACCGAGACUGACGCUGAGGCGCGAAGGCGUGGGGAGCAAACAGG
rnacentral:rRNA from 1 species